GCUGAGCUCUUUUUUUUUUUUUUUUCUGAAGUAAAUAGAGACAUGUAGAGUCUUCCCUCCAUGUCAGGCUGCACUUCAUUAGCCCCAGCUCAGUAAUGCAGGGAACCCUAGUGACCCAUCGGCCAAGAAACUCCCAGAAGCAUUAAAAAAAAAGUUAUAUUCCGCUGCCAAGUGGAUAGUCAUUUAGCUGUUUGUCCCUUGUUUUUUAUUUAUUCCAUAAUUAUGUUUGUGCUUUUUCUUGUGUGAACAGUAGUGAGGCGUAUGUUUUUAUGUGGCUUUAGAGAAAACUUCAGUCUUCAAAGAACUGUUCUAAUUAGUUCCUUCUCGGAAAAAGUUAUGCGUUAAUUUGUUUCAAAAUAUUUAGGCAUUCUUUGAAUUAUAAACUUGUGAUGCAGGGAUUUGUGAACGAGACGUUCACAAGUGAAGAUGACUUCACUUAGCAUCUGUGUAAACAGAAUAAGAUGUGUAUAUGUACAUAAAAUAUAAGGAGUCUGAACACCAUUGUGCAGUGCCUUUUAGAUGUUCUGCUUUCUAAAGUCUUCAAAUUUUUUGCAUAUAUAUUAUAUAUAUGAUGUAAUGUUAUAGAAAUAUAUGUAUAAUAUACAUAUUUUUUCCAGGGGUAUCUGAUAGCUCUGUAUUUUGUUAUGGAAGUCGAAAGAAAAAAAAAGUAUUUUACCUCAAAAAAUUAAAGUUCAGUUUAAAAACAAAGGGUC
rnacentral:lncRNA from 1 species